UCACUCGUGCAGGCAGAUUCGGUCGAUCUUCUCAAGGAUGAGUGUCUUUUGAUGUAGAAUGUCCUUUGAUGUGGAGAAGUACAAUCGUGGUGGAGCCCAGCCC